GGUUUUACUCAUAAUGUCUGGAACAGAUCAGAGCAAUGUCUGCUCUGUCCCCUCCUCCUCCCACACCUCUUAGUGACUUUUACCCCAUCAACAACUUUAGGAUGUGUUCCUCCAUGGGAGGUGAGGGUAUUCAUAGUGAGGUACGCUAGGAUACCCUGCCCACUGGGCUGCUGGAGCUUCCAGGGGAGUGAGAGCCUGAAUUCCUGCAACAGACAUCUUUGUCUCUGUAGCAAGAAGCUUCAUGCUCUGAAUCCUGAACAAAACUCCACCAGUGCUGCAGAUCUCUGCAAUUGAACAAAGAACAGUAAAUGCAGUUUAGUGUAGGAAGGCAAGGUCACAUGGCCUUGGCUUUAGUUAAUUUAUCUUUCAUGACAGAUUCUAUUUUCUGCUACUAGUAUUAUUACCAGCAUUACAUUUCUCCCAUGAUAGUGCAUCUGGAGCUCUUGCAUUGCCAAACUUAGUGGUAGCAUUUAAUUUGUGUGACAUUAUUCAGUUAUCAAGAAAAAGCUCAUGCUGAGAAAUGCUGUAGUUAGUUAAUGAUAGCAUAAAAAAUGAGUUCUUCUAAGCAAGAGCAAUGUCUCAAGUACUUUGCUGAAAACAUUUCUUUCUGAGACUGCACUAUCCCAUUCCUCACAUGGGAGCUUGGGCAUUCACCAAUCAGGUCUCCAGAUGAAGGCUGACAGGUAGAUAUGCUGAGACAGGAGACACAGAAUGGGUUUAACAAUUAAAUUUCACACAUUUUCCCUUAAGUAAUGGCAGCUGGACAACGUGCAAAGACUGCAGCACUGAAUUAUAGGAAAGGCAUACUGAGAUUGUUCUAGUCUAGUCCUUUCUCUGUGGAAGAUCAUCUCCACAAUUUUCAACAGAAACUAAUCUAAUCCAUCCUUGGAGGCCCACAGUGAUGGAGAAGCCAUGUAACUCAUCAUGUAUUUCCUGUAUUACUAUAUACAUAUGGCUUUGUAUGCUUAUAUCCAUAUUAACUGAAAGAUAAAUAUACCCAUGGCAGGAGUAGCUGUAAACAAUGUAGCUGUAAACACCAAAUCCUCAUGGAAGAUUUCCUGUUUACAGGAUUCAACAGGGCUCUGCUCUUGACAAAACAUAACUUAUUACCUUUAUGUACAAACUAAAAGACAAAGUAAAAUGACAGCACAGGUUUUGGAAAUUAUGAAAGCUGCUGAAACUGUAAAUUAGACAGAUGAUAAUUGUAGAGAAUUAAUCAUUUAGUAGGGUGGGCUGAUUUGAAUAUCCUCUUUUAAUACAGAUAAAUUUGCACUCAUAUAGCUAAGGAAGAAAGAGCAUAGUUCAUACAGACAGGAUUGGACUAAGUAUUUCAAAAUGAUAGAACAUAAAAAGAAGUCAGGGUCUUGGUAGAUAAUUAACUGAACAUGAGUUUGCAGUGGGAUGAUGCAAUUAGAGAGUGAAUGUCAUCCCUGAAGCCUAAGAAGGGAAAAUAUGAAGUGGGAGUAGGAAGGUGAUAUUAGCUCUGUUUAUAGCAAAUGUAAAACCACAGCAGGAAUGUUGCAUGCAUCUCUCAUACCCACAUUUAGGAACGGAUUAUCUGAUAAACCACACAGUCAGAAAGUCCUGCAAUAAACAUAUUGAGGACUGGAAGGCAUGGCUAAUUGUGAAAAGCUAGCAAUGAGCAAGCUGCCUGUCUUAUCAAAAAGACAAGUGAAGUAUUGUAAAAGAUGUAAAAGAUGUUUUUGAUUGUGAUUGGUUUUUUAGUAUAAGAAGAAAGAGCGUAACAAAGGACAGUAUGGGAUAUUAAUCUCUUGAAAAAGUGCUAUGUUAAGAUUUAACUGCAAAUAAAACCUUCAAAAAACCCAAACCACCCAGUGAAUAAUUAUCCACACCUUUAACAAGGUGAUGAAUCUUUUAAUCUGCACUGAUACGUCUAAAGGUCUUUCCUGGGAUAUUGCCCUUCCAGCAGAAAUUACAGACCUGCUGCUGAGACUUACAGCUGACGUGCUGCAACUUGCAGGAGCAUAACGAUCUCUUCGAUGAUUAGGUGACUAAGAAAAUUACACUUUUUUCUUUGAAUGCUAUAAAAUAAUAUUGAUGUAUACCUGCUCAGGAAGCAGCUCUAAGUUCUUUGGUUUUCAAAAUAAAGCAUUAUGCUUCAUUGGUUUUGGACGGACUUUUUGUCCCUAAAAUCAACAGGCUUGUAUUUUAAAAUAAUCCUGAGAAUGGGGAGAUUGUGAAGGUGUUUCUGAUAUAACCUGUUCCCACCAAGGAAACAGCCAUUCGAAAAUCCUGCUGAAUCACUGGAACUGGAAACAGUGCUUAAUUUUGUUUCUACAGAGAUUAGUUCUGCUGAAUGCAGAAAAAUCACAUCCUUCAGUAUGUCAUUUUGCUUUCAUGUUCAUAUAUUUGAAUUAAUAUCUGUUAAGUAGUCCUGAACUGCAAAAACACCAGACUGUGUUUUCAAUAAAUAAUUCCACUUUAAUGGCAAAGUAAUAAUUUAGACAGAUACAGUGUGCACACCUGCAAAAAAAACCCAAAAAAAACAAAAAACAAAAAAAAACAAAACCAAAAAAAAUGCAAGCUGGUUUACAAGCUAGAGGAACAAUAAACCAAUAGAAAAUACAUCAUCCAGUUAAGUCCGAUGACACCAAAUACUUAUUAUUAGGGUUUUACAAAGACUACAAAAAUUUUCAGAUGAUUUAUUUCACUGUUUCUGUCUAUUUACAAGAUAUGUUACAUCAAAAAUGUACAAAAUAUAAAAUGUGUACAGACAAAUGUUUCACAAACA
ensembl:lncRNA